rnacentral:rRNA from 1 species
UCCGGUUGAUCCUGCCAGAGGUCACUGCUAUCAGUGUUCGACUAAGCCAUGCGAGUCAAAUGUUCUUCGGAACAUGGCGUACUGCUCAGUAACACGUGGACAACCUGCCCUAAGGUCUGGCAUAACUCCGGGAAACUGGGGAUAAUUCCAGAUAAACCAUAGAUACUGGAAUGUGCUGUGGUUAAAAGCUCCGGUGCCUUAGGAUGGAUCUGCGGCCUAUCAGGUAGUAGUGGGUGUAAUGUACCUACUAGCCUACGACGGGUACGGGUUGUGAGAGCAAGAGCCCGGAGAUGGAUUCUGAGACAUGAAUCCAGGCCCUACGGGGCGCAGCAGGCGCGAAAACUUUACAAUGCGGGAAACCGCGAUAAGGGGACACUGAGUGCCAGCACCAUGUGCUGGCUGUCCGCAUGUAUAAAUCACAUUGUCAGCAAGGGCCGGGCAAGACCGGUGCCAGCCGCCGCGGUAACACCGGCGGCCCGAGUGGUGGCCAUUAUUAUUGGGUCUAAAGGGUCCGUAGCCGGUUUGAUCAGUCUUCCGGGAAAUCUGACAGCUCAACUGUUAGGCUUCUGGGGGAUACUGUCAGACUUGGAACCGGGAGAGGUGAGAGGUACUACAGGGGUAGGAGUGAAAUCUUGUAAUCCUUGUGGGACCACCAGUGGCGAAGGCGUCUUACCAGAACGGGUUCGACGGUGAGGGACGAAAGCUGGGGGCACGAACCCGUUAUAUAUCCCGGUGUUUCCCACCCUAAAAGAUCCCCAAGUGUUUGGGAAUGGGGCACUUUUUCGGGUCCGCAGGAAACCCUAAAGGCACCCCCCUGAAAUUCCGCCCACAGGGUAAAAUUAAAGGAUUGGGGGGGGACCUUACAAGCGGGGGACCCCUGUGUUUAAUUGGGUUAACCGCCGGAAACUCCCGUGGGGGAACCCAAAUUUGUGGUCAGGCGAGAAGUUUUCCCCUAAAUCGUAGAGAGAAGUCCAGGCCCGUUCUCAUUUUAUACUGAAAACCUUCCUUUAAAUUCGGCCAACGAGGAGAACCUGUCCCCACUUUCGCCAGCAUUUCCUCGGGGAAGAUGGGUACUCCUGUGGGACCGGCGAUGUUAAUUCGGAGGAAGUUGCNGGCUACGUUAGUCCAGUAUGCCCCGAUCUCCAGGGCUACACGCGGGCUACANUGACNNGGACANUGGGUNCCUACCCCGAANGGGGGUNGUAUCUCAUNAAACCCGCCCUAGUUUCGGAUCGGGGGCUGCAACUCGCCCUCGUGAAGCUGGAAUCCGUAGUAAUCGCGUUUCAAUAUAGCGCGGUGAAUACGUCCCUGCUCCUUGCACACACCGCCCGUCAAACCACCCGAGUGAGGUAUGGGUGAGGGCACGGAUUCAUGCCGUGUUCGAACCUAAAUUUUGCAAGGGGGGUU